rnacentral:tRNA from 1 species
GCCGUUGUCUUGGCCAAGUGGUUAAGGCGAUGGUCUUGAAAACCAUUGGGUUCUUCCCGCGCAGGUUCGAACCCUGCCGACUGCG